rnacentral:rRNA from 1 species
GAUGAACGCUGGCGGCGUGCCUAAUACAUGCAAGUCGAGCGAACAGACGAGGAGCUUGCUCCUCUGACGUUAGCGGCGGACGGGUGAGUAACACGUGGAUAACCUACCUAUAAGACUGGGAUAACUUCGGGAAACCGGAGCUAAUACCGGAUAAUAUAUUGAACCGCAUGGGUCAAUAGUGAAAGACGGUUUUGCUGUCACUUAUAGAUGGAUCCGCGCCGCAUUAGCUAGUUGGUAAGGUAACGGCUUACCAAGGCGACGAUGCGUAGCCGACCUGAGAGGGUGAUCGGCCACACUGGAACUGAGACACGGUCCAGACUCCUACGGGAGGCAGCAGUAGGGAAUCUUCCGAAAUGGGCGAAAGCCUGACGGAGCAACGCCGCGUGAGUGAUGAAGGUCUUCGGAUCGUAAAACUCUGUUAUUAGGGAAGAACAAAUGUGUAAGUAACUAUGCACGUCUUGACGGUACCUAAUCAGAAAGCCACGGCUAACUACGUG